rnacentral:rRNA from 1 species
GACGAACGCUGGCGGCGUGCCUAAUACAUGCAAGUUGAGCGCUGAAGGUUGGUACUUGUACCAACUGGAUGAGCAGCGAACGGGUGAGUAACGCGUGGGGAAUCUGCCUUUGAGCGGGGGACAACAUUUGGAAACGAAUGCUAAUACCGCAUAAAAACUUUAAACACAAGUUUUAAGUUUGAAAGAUGCAAUUGCAUCACUCAAAGAUGAUCCCGCGUUGUAUUAGCUAGUUGGUGAGGUAAAGGCUCACCAAGGCGAUGAUACAUAGCCGACCUGAGAGGGUGAUCGGCCACAUUGGAACUGAGACACGGCCCAAACUCCUACGGGAGGCAGCAGUAGGGAAUCUUCGGCAAUGGACGAAAGUCUGACCGAGCAACGCCGCGUGAGUGAAGAAGGUUUUCGGAUCGUAAAACUCUGUUGGUAGAGAAGAACGUUGGUGAGAGUGGAAAGCUCAUCAAGUGACGGUAACUACCCAGAAAGGGACGGCUAACUACGUG